GUAACGCGUGAGAAUCUGGCUUCAGGUCUGGGACAACCACUGGAAACGGUGGCUAAUACCGGAUGUGCCGAGAGGUGAAAGGUUAACUGCCUGAAGAUGAGCUCGCGUCUGAUUAGCUAGUUGGAAGUGUAAUGGACUCCCAAGGCGACGAUCAGUAGCUGGUCUGAGAGGACGAUCAGCCACACUGGGACUGAGACACGGCCCAGACUCCUACGGGAGGCAGCAGUGGGGAAUUUUCCGCAAUGGGCGAAAGCCUGACGGAGCAAUACCGCGUGAGGGAGGAAGGCUCUUGGGUCGUAAACCUCUUUUCUCAGGGAAGAACACAAUGACGGUACCUGAGGAAUAAGCAUCGGCUAACUCCGUGCCAGCAGCCGCGGUAAUACGGAGGAUGCAAGCGUUAUCCGGAAUGAUUGGGCGUAAAGCGUCCGCAGGUGGCUAUGUAAGUCUGCUGUUAAAGAGUCUAGCUCAACUAGAUAAGAGCAGUGGAAACUACAAGGCUAGAGUACGUUCGGGGCAGAGGGAAUUCCUGGUGUAGCGGUGAAAUGCGUAGAGAUCAGGAAGAACACCGGUGGCGAAGGCGCUCUGCUAGGCCGUAACUGACACUGAGGGACGAAAGCUAGGGGAGCGAAUGGGAUUAGAUA
rnacentral:rRNA from 1 species